GACGAACGCUGGCGGCGUGCUUAACACAUGCAAGUCGAACGGAAAGGCCCUGCUUUUGUGGGGUGCUCGAGUGGCGAACGCGUGAGUAACACGUGAGUAACCUGCCCUUGACUUUGGGAUAACUUCAGGAAACUGGGGCUAAUACCGGAUAGGAGCUCCUGCUGCAUGGUGGGGGUUGGAAAGUUUCGGCGGUUGGGGAUGGACUGGCGGCUUAUCAGCUUGUUGGUGGGGUAGUGGCUUACCAAGGCUUUGAAGGGUAGCCGGCCUGAGAGGUGGAACGGGGACAUGGGGACUGAGAGACGGACCAGACGCGUACGGGAGGCAGCAGUGGGGAAUCUUGCACAAUGGGCGGACGCCUGAUGCAGCAACGCCGCGUUCGGGAUGACGGCCUUCGGGGUGUAAACCGCUUUCGCCGUUGACGAAGAGCGAGUGACGGUAAUGGGUAAAGAAGCACCGGCUAACUACGUG
rnacentral:rRNA from 1 species